UCACCAUGUUGGCCAGGCUGGUCUCCAUCUCCUGACCUCGUGAUCUGUCUGCCUUGGCGUCCCAAAGUGCUGGGAUUACAGGCAUGAGCCACCAAGCCCAGCCAAACUAGGCAUAGUUUCUAGACUUGCUACCCCAAGCAUAAUAUGUAAAAAGAAAAAUCAACUGUGUUAGAACCUCAUCAAAACUAAAACCUUAGGUUCUGUGAAAGUCCAUGUGAAGGACAGUGCAGACCGGGAGGAGGUAUUUGCAAACCACAAAUAACAGAGGACUAGUAUCUAAAUAUAAAGAAAUCUCAAAACUCAUUAGGAAAAAACAACCCAGUUAGAAAAUGGGCAAACACUGUUUCACCAAAAAAGUGAAAUAAGUUCAUGAGCAAAAAAAAAAAAAAGGGCAAAUAAACGCAUGACAAGAUAUUUCACAUCGUUAGCCAUUGAGGGAAGUGAAAAAAUAAAACCACAGUGGGCUAUCACUACGCACCUAUCAAAUGGCUAAAAUAAAAGCCAGCGAGAACAUAAAAUGCUGGUGAAGAUGUGGAGGAGCUGCAUUAUUCAUGCAUUUUUGGUUGGAACAUGGCUGUGGAUAGUUUGGUACCCAAGGCAAGUGCUCUCCUGCAUCUUCCUAGUGCCAGCCUUGACAGGCUGCUUGUUGACUUCUCACAGAAGUGAGGGAAGCUGGGAGACAGUGUAAUGAUACCUUCAAAUUCAUGGGGGUGGAGGAAUCCUUUAAAAAUCAGACAUUUUAGGUAAACAAAAAGAAGGAGAAUUUGUCACCAGCAGAGCUCCACAAAGGGAGUCUAAGUCUAUUCUUCAGGCAGAAGGGAAAUGACCAAAGUAAUCCUCCAUCUCCAAAAAUGUAAGAGAUCUAAUUAAUCUAGUUUCCAUGCUCUGCCUGGCCCCAUGAGUUUUGGCCCUGGCUACACGUCAGAAUUACCAAUGGAAUGAAAAAAAAGAAAAAAAAAAAACCCCUGAAGAAAAAACCAACCCUGUACAUCCUUCUUCGGUUGGUUUGGUGUAUGGCUCAGGGUCACUAAUGGUACUGGUGUGCAGCCUUGGAAGUAACAGGGUGGACUCAGAAGGAGAGAAGAAAGUGGUGUCAUGGCUUAAAUGGAAACACUGUCCUCCCGGUUCCUGGGCCUCACCUUUAUGCCUGGUAUGUCUUCCUGCGGCAACGUUCGUUCUGGCGAGGCUGAAAUGACCCUCCACAGUUCUGGCUUCUCCCUCUGUUGCUCUGGUCAGCACCAAAUCCCGUCCGUCACACCUGUGUGGGAUCUCACGCUUUUUUCCUUUUCUCUUCAUUGCCAUUGCCACCCUUGCAAUGUGGGUACUUUUUACAUUUUGACUGUGACAAAAACCGCAGUUACUUUUGCACCAACCUAUAGUCUCUCCGCUUCCACAGUGUCAUCUUCGUCUUUCAGUUUGUCUUGCACAGUCUUACCAACCCAAUCUUUGUAAAGCGUAACUCAUGCUACUGCCCUAUUUAGAGACAUUUUUAGUGCUCCCCUCCCCACUGUUCACAAAAUAAUCUCAAAUUUAAUACUUUUGAAAACAAAAUCAAGUUGUUUUCCUAUUGAAUACCCUUUGAUCACACCCACAGCUCCUGUUACCACAGCAUACGAGGUGCGACAUGAUUGGAGGCCUGUUUCAUCUCCACCCUCAUCUCAUAGCACUCCUUCUUCUGCUCACCAUGGCCCAGCUAGAGUCUAGGUUUUUCCUUGCCUUUGGGCUGAACUGGCCAGUUACUCCACAAGCUGUUUGCAUGCUCUUUUCUUACCUUUCAGGUCUUGAUCCCAUGCUUAGUCUGUGGAGUAGCGCUCCCUUGCUUAUCUAGAGUGAAUCGUAUCCAUUUCUAAUCUAAUCAGCAUGCUCUUCAUUUCUUUUAUUGUUGGUCAUCUUCAUCUUGUUGACUUCUAUACGUGUUCGUUGCCUCUUCCCUUUUUCCUCACUGGAAUGUAAACCCCAUGAAGGCAGCCGCCUCAACUCUUGUUGGCUGCUACAUCUCCAAAGCCAGGUACGUAGGAGGUGCUCAAUAAAUAUCCCCUAAUCUAUUUUGAACAUAAAUACACUAAAGAUUUCAUAAUAAAGCAACUUUCUGGCAAGAGAAUCUUUUUUGUUCAGUGAUUUUGACAGUAUAGUACUACGUAGUUGAUUGUUGAAAUUCUGCCUGUUUCAUUCUUACAUGUAACCUUUGGAUGAAUGAAGGGCAGGAAAUGUGGUAGGAAAUGAAACCGUGUAGGAAAAAACUGAUAUCUAGGUUGGACAAACAAACUGGAAAUAGAAUUCUGUCAUUUCUGCAAGAUCCAAGAGGCUCUAUCUUGACUAUAUCUUUAUGUCUCUGAAAUUUCUGUAGUCUUUCUCUGUUGCUUCAGUGAUAGUAAUUUUAAAAUUUUAAUAGAUUACAGGUACUGUUUUAAAAGGGACAUUUCUAGAGAGGUGAUAUUUAAUAACGUAUUUCAAUGGUGUUUUACAGUUUGUUCAUUCGUAAUUGCAUUGAACAACUCCCUGUGAAAAGUGUUAUAUCCUCACUUUGAAAAUGAGAAAAGUAAGGUCCUAAAUGUUAAGAAACAUUUAAAAAACAAGUUAAGUUGGGAGACUGGGACUGAGGUCUUUGAAUGUCUAAUCCAGUGUCUGUGUUACUACUGGGUUUCCCAUCCCUGGGGUGUCCAGUUUCAACUGAAAGUACCUGUGGCAGGAACCGGAGAUGUAACAGACUUGCUUGUCUCCCAAAUGUGGAAACAAAUGAAGGUGCCUGCCACCAGGUCACCUUCACGUAGCAGCACGAUGUCUGCCUGGUGGCGUCCUUGGUCGCUGUCCCUGCUCCUCCCGUCUUUGGUCCCAGCAGAUGUAGGUUGUCCAGCUUGACGUGGCUGAAGCACCAUGGGAAUCGAUUUCAGAUUUCUCAUCCAAGGUGUUCCUCCCAUUGUUCCCUGCAUCUUCAUUCUUAAAAAGGAAAUCAGUCUCAUCAAAAGUAUUAUUGUGUUCGGAACAACUCAGAUUUCUUACUUGUAAAAAUUGUUCUGGCUUUAAGAGAGAUAUGUCCUAACGUUCUCUCCUUUUGCUGCCUUAUGGAAAAUGGAUCUUGGGGGAGGAAGCAAGAAUGAAACAAGAGAAACGAGACUGGAGGCUGUGACAGCAUGCAGGUGAGAGAUCAUGGUGGCUGAGAUCAGGGGGAAAGCAGUGUCCUGGAGAGAAGCAGACCUAUCCAGAGUGUGGUUGAGCUGUAAUUGGCAGGACUUAACGGAUGGACUGGAUAUGGAGGAUGAGGGAGAGGAUUUGAAAGAUGAGUCGAAGGUAACGUCUAAAAUGUUGAAUGGAGCAACCAUGUGGUUGGUAGAAUCAUGUUCUUGGGUGGCAGAGAUGAAAAAGGGGCUUGGGGAUGUCUGGGAUAAGAGUCUUAAUUGCGUUAAAUUUGAGAUAUCGACUGCACAGUUGCCAAUGUCAGGUAAGCUAGUUGCAUAUAUGAUCUGGAACAUAGGAGAGAUGACAGGGCUGGAGCUAGAAUUUUGGAAGGUGUGGUCAUGCUAUAGAAGUCGGAUGGUGAGCAGGCGUGGUGGCUCAUGCCUGUAAUCCCAGCACUUUAGGAGGAAGGAGGAUUGCUGAGCUGAGGAAGUCUUGGCUGCAGUGAACCAAGAUGGCGCCACUGCACUCCAUCCUGGGAAACAGAGUGAGACUCUGUCUCGGAAAAAAAAAAAAAGGAAAAAGGAAAUAGGAUGGUGGCUGGGGCUGGGCUGGGCCUAUUGGGGUUUGAACCCCUCCCCGGGCCACAGGAGGGAGCACUCAGGCUUUCUUAGUCUUCUGUUGACCUGCCCAGAUGCGAGGCUGAAGGGGAAGUUGGCCUGGAGUUCAGCCCUUUAUGACAGAAGACCCCAGCAUAGAAACGGCAUCCAAAAUAAUGGGACUAUACAAAAUCUCAUGGACUUGAAAUCCACUGUCCUGACACCUCAAGACUGGAGUCCAGCGCUUCAUGACAGAAGAACUCAGCGUAGAAACGGCAUCCAAAAUCCUGGGACUGUGCAAAAUCUCUUGGGGUCCAACCCUUUAUUACAGAAGACCCCAGGUUAGAAACGGCAUCCAAAACCACGGGACUAUACAGAAUUCCCUAGAGUCCAGCCCUUCAUGGCAAGACCUCAGCAUAGAAAUGGCAUCUAAAAUCACAGGACUGUACAAAAUCUCCUGGGGAUCACUUGAGCUCCCAGGUCUCCAGUGUCUAAAAAUGAGGUUGAAGAGAAAGUACCAGCUAAGUUAAACUAAAUGAAAAGAAAAAUAUGUAGCAUGUGGUGUACCAGCAGCAGAAGCCAGGGCCACCCUGCUGACCUGCUCUGGUCCCUCCCACAUGGUGCCAGGGUGAGCAGUGCAUAUGCAUCCUGGAGAUGUACAGGUGCAGCCCUGGGGAAGAGACAGCCCAGGGCACCACUGAAUGGGCAAGCAAGAGGGUGCAGGGCUGGAUCCCACGGUUUGCAGCAUGGAGUUCUGACUGGUGAACUGGUAGGAAUAGAAGCCAGAUUAAAGAAGCCUGAAGAAUGAAUGUGAGUUACAGAAGCAAAGAAGGCAAGUUUAGACAGCUUUCUCAGGAAAUGGUGCUAAAUGCAGAGCACAGAAGUGAGCAGUAAUUAGAAGGAGGGAGAGGUAGGAUCAAGGAGAACUUUUUUCUUUUUAAUCUAGGUAGCUCUUCCAGCAUGUUCGUAAUUGACACAAGAAAUCCAGCAAUGAUGCGGGUCACUGCUGUGGAGGGUCCUGACGAGGUAGGAGUGGAGGUGAUCAGGGCCCAAGUGGACAGCUGCACUUUAUAGGAGCAGAGACACUCCUUCCAUCCGAACAGGAGGGAAGACAGGACAUGGGGGUGUGCCUGUGCAGGAGAGCUUGUAAAUCGGUUGGUGGUAAGAUGAGUGAGUUUCCUGCUAAUUGCUGUUUUCUCAAGUAUGUAUGAGAUAAGAUCCUCACCAGGACUUUUGGGGAAGGGGUGGUGGUGUGAUGAGAGAGGAAGCAGGAAAUAAUUACUCAGGAAGCAGCCAAGCAAAAUGACCAAGGAUGCAUAAGAAGAUUGUGAGGCACUGCUGAGCCCCUUCGAGGACUGUGGUCAGAAAUCCAAGCCAACGCCAUCAGCUCAGUUGUCUGAUAUUCUCCAGCAGCGCUCAGCUGUGUGGGCACCGGGAGGAAAAGCUGCAGCAUGGAUUCACAAGGGCCAGGGUUUUACGCAGCAGGUACCACCGGACUUCAGCAGCGGGGGCCAGCCAGGAGGGGAGGGUGUUUUCAAAGGGAUGAUGAUUUAAGCCUGGCCGAAUAUUGAUCAAACUCGUGACCUGCUCCCAGUAAAUGUGUUUAGUGAAGCACACGUUUCCAGGUCUAUGUGUCUACAUAUUUCUGUGUACAUUCUUAAAGAUACGGCUUAAUGCCGUGGUUUCGCUCAGGCUUAUUUUCUAAAGCCUUUUGGUUUUGGUUUUUGGGAAGCCUACUCUGUUUCCCCCCGGAACUAACGGGUGAGCAAGCGAGAGGUUCUGUAAGAAAAGUAGAAGCUGUGGACUUUAUUAUGGUUGGACCCGCGUGUGGAAAUUCUGUGAAUUGUGUUCUGUCAGCGUCCUGCGCGCGGAAUAGGCUAUGGAAACAACGGCGCUGGGAGGGUCUGUGAGUGAGCGGCCUUCCCUCCCACCCACAGACUUAACCACUGCAGCUCUCCAGGUUUCUGAGUGUUUAUUUCAUAGUAAAAAGGGCUCUAAAAAUACCAGGGCAGUUAGGUUUUUAUUGUAGAUCAUUUCACUUAAACUGCAAUGGGACAUAUAAAUU